rnacentral:rRNA from 1 species
CCCUUAGUAACGGCGAGCGAAAAGGGAAAUGUCCAGCGCCAAGUCUUGACAUGUAAUGGUGUUCAAGAGAUGCGGCGUUAAUGUAUCGACCCAUCAUGCAUUGUUCCACAUUUCAAGUUCCUACGACCGGGACUUCCAGAGCGGGUGUAAGACCCAUAGAGAUGAGGAACCCAAUGUAUGCUGAGCGAUGCAUUCUAGAGUCAGGUUGCUUGAGAGUGCAGCUUAAAGUCGGUGGUAAACUCCAUCCAAGACUAAAUACUACAGCGAGACCGAUAGCAAACAAGUACCGUGAGGGAAAGUUGCAAAGCACUUUGAAGAGAGAGUUCAAAAGUACGUGAAACCACUGGGAGGCAAACAGAUGGAACCACGAAGUGUGCGCCUCGGUCGAUUCAAUCAUCACUUUCGAUCAGUUGUAGUUGAUCAGGAUCUUUUCGGAGAUUGAUUCUCUACAAUUAUGAUUGAAGGUGUUGGUGCAUUUCGUGCCGGGGAUGCAAAGCCACGUUCAACUAGCGGGUUGGGACGGCUGUAAGAAAGAAUCCGAGAAAGGUGACCGUCAAGUGCUUGCAUUUGACGGCGUUAUAGUCUUGGAUUGGCACCGUCACCUAACAUACUGGUUGAUGGAAAUUCUCCAUUCGGAAUUGAACCAUAUCUGCCUGGGAUUGGUAGUCCAAGUUGCCUAAAGUUCUUUGCGUAUCUUUCCAUGCCAAAAGGGUUUGCCAAAAUGGCGGCUAAUGGUUGCUUGGCUGAUAUGGUGGAACUGUGGCCUGAAUAGGGCGGUCUCCAUCUG